CGCGGGGUGGAGCAGUCUGGUAGCUCGUUGGGCUCAUAACCCAAAGGUCGGAGGUUCGAAUCCUUCCCCCGCUACCA
rnacentral:tRNA from 1 species